CUCCUCCUCCUCCGCUGUCACUCCUCCUCUGUCAGCUACCCCCAAACAACGCUCCAGCGGGGCUAAUGUCCUGCAGAUGGGUCAUACAGCGCUCUCUCUCUCUCCCCCUCCCCCCCCCAGAGACAGUGAAUGGAGGGCCCCUGGACUGGGACGCUUUUGCAGGAGAAAGCAUAUUACAGACCGCGCCCCCUAUUACAGACCGCGCCCCCUAUUACAGACCGCGCCCCCUAUUACAGACCGCGCCCCCUAACAGGAUCACACACAUCUGUGCAGUGGCUCCUGGAAGGAUAUUAUCGCCAACUAGGAUUUGCCAGUGGAGCAGCUUAUAAAGUGUUCCCCACAAUCCAAUUCAUGGCUGACGUACACCUUUAAGACAUUUGAGCAAGCCAAGAAAUACAUUCCGAUUGAUGAAACCAGACAGCAGCAGAGUCUCAUCUGGUUGGAGAACACGCAGAGGCUAGAAAAUGGCUGCUUUAGACCCCAAGGAAGCUUGUUCACAUUCCAGAACACCAAUAUUCGAACCCUUCUAGUUUGCGUAGUUACUCAUGGCGCCUAUUCCCCCAUAUAAAUGAACUGACACAGAACGACGGCGGUGAGACGAGCUCGCUGCUCGUAGGCUAUUUGACUGCUGUUCAGAUUUUAAAUGUGAGUUUUUCUACUUUAUGUUACCGCAUUGUUCAAUACAUUUUAUACGGUACUACACUAUGGGCCCCCCUCUUUUUGCUGCCACCAUAUACCCUCUGAGACAAGACGGGACAAGUCAGGAGGUGGAAGAUUUGGAGGAAGUGAGCGUUUCCAUACCAUCCAGUGACCUUCCAACAUACUCGCAAGAUCAGGAUACGAACUCUGUGUUUGUGGAGAUAGGUCCACUAUCCACAGCCUCAAUGAUUAUGCCAUUUCUCCGUUAUAUAUUUUUUACAUGCGUUUUUUGAACACUUGAUGAGGAGCCUUCCCCUUUCAACCUAAACUAGUGCGGCUGCACCCUUGAAGAUACACCCUUGGUACUGUAAGCUAUCCGUGCUAUAGCUCUGAGGUUAGCA